AACGAACGCUGGCGGCAUGCCUAACACAUGCAAGUCGAACGAGACCUUCGGGUCUAGUGGCGCACGGGUGCGUAACACGUGGGAAUUUGCCUCGGGGUAUGGAAUAACUCAGGGAAACUUGAGCUAAUACCAUAUAAUGUCUUCGGACCAAAGAUUUAUCGCCCUGAGAUAAGCCCGCGUAGGAUUAGCUAGUUGGUGAGGUAAAGGCUCACCAAGGCGACGAUCCUUAGCUGGUCUGAGAGGAUGAUCAGCCACACUGGGACUGAGACACGGCCCAGACUCCUACGGGAGGCAGCAGUGGGGGAAUAUUGGGACAAUGGGCGAAAGCCUGAUCCAGCAAUGCCGCGUGAGUGAUGAAGGCCUUAGGGUUGUAAAGCUCUUUACCCGGGAUGAUAAUGACAGUACCGGGAGAAUAAGCUCCGGCUAACUCCGUGCCAGCAGCCGCGGU
rnacentral:rRNA from 1 species